GCCGCUGGCUGCCAGUGGCUCCGAACUCCUCCGCGACCUCCGUAGUCGCAGCCGCGCACCUUAGCCUAAUUUAGGUCCUCUGUGCCCGAGGGGCCUGAGAGGAGAUUCUGGGAGUGGCGAGGUGCCUCCAGACGCCAGGACACUGCGGGCUGGAGUGGAGGCGCGAGGGGUUCUCUGGACUUAAGCUGCGGCCUCCGCCAUUUCCAGACCCAUUGUAUCUUGUCCUAAGUCCUGUAUCUUUGCAAAUACGGAUCCGUCUGCCUGGAAAGUUGCCCACCUGCCUCCAAGCUCCUGCUUUAGGCAUCCAACCGGAUAUUACCAAGAUGACUGACAGGUGUUGACUGAAACCUACAGAAGGAACUUGCUUGGCGACUCCAGUUGGAAUGGAUACUCCCUGGGGCAACCGGGGGCCAAGUUAUCCCCAUCUUUCCAUCAUGACCCCAAUCUAAAUUGUCAAAUGCAACUUUCGGACAGGACAGGGAUUUUUGGAGCCCUCAACUCUUGUCUACCUAGGAACUGUGCAGUAAAUUAUUCAAGCGUGAUGAAGUAUCACAUUGGCAGCUCCUUAACAAUGGUUUAAGAAAGAGUCGCUCAAGGCAAGAAGACCCAGAGCCAGCAGGACUGAAACAAAAAGCAAAGGAGAUCAUUGCUGAAAUUCUCAAAUCUUACCUUUCAUCUGCUUGAGCAUAGGUAUUCUCAACCUUGGGAACUGGCAUUGAAGCCUGACUAAAUUGUCUGGGAUGGAAGUCAGGAUGACCAGCCCGUGUCUCUGCUCUAUGACUUUGCAUUUGUCAAUUUCCACUUGUCCAUUCAAGAAACAUUAUGGAGGACCUUCUAUCUGCUUGAGUGUCUGAAAUUAUGGAGCUCACACUUUAGAUUAGAAAAUGACAAAGAGGGAAGCCACCAAGUGGAACUGUGGAAGGCUCUGCAGAAGAAUUGAUGUUUGAUGUAAGUCCUUACAGAUGAAAAGAUGUCAGUUCCUGUUCUGUAAGAUGAGAUGGUCAGACUAGAUCUACAAGGACGACCCAUUUAAUCCUAAUAGAUUCUGUGGUUAUAACCUGCC